rnacentral:rRNA from 1 species
AGCAGUCGCCGCGGUAAUACCGAGGGUGCGAGCGUUAAUCGGAUUUACUGGGCGUAAAGCGUGCGUAGGCGGCUUCUUAAGUCGGAUGUGAAAUCCCUGAGCUUAACUUAGGAAUUGCAUUCGAUACUGGGAAGCUAGAGUAUGGGAGAGGAUGGUAGAAUUCCAGGUGUAGCGGUGAAAUGCGUAGAGAUCUGGAGGAAUACCGAUAACGAAGGCAGCCAUCUGGCCUAAUACUGACGCUGAGGUACGAAAGCAUGGGGAGCAAACAGGAUUAGAUACCCGCGUAGUCCCUGUCUCUUAUAC